GCUUUCGUGCUCGUCGGCGGGAUGGUGCAAGGCGCAACUCCGACGUGGUUCCUCACUGGUUGGAUGUCGUUUAGGCGCAACCCUGGUGCCCUCUGAGUACUGCCUCGGCUACAACCUCCCUCUAUGAGCUCCAUCUUCCCCUGCUCUGCUUCGGCUACUAUAUGGGACAUGGCCAGGGCUAUGAUGAUCAGCUAUGGCUGAUAUAGGCAUGCUCUCAAGCAGUCGAGGCACUUGUGGGUAUUAAUUUGGAUCCUCCCUCGUUUCUUUGAGCUGUUUUGAUCACGUUCUUAUUUUAGUGGCUCUGUCCUUGGAUUGUCAUUUCUAAUGAGUGAUAACCAGGGCAGUUAAACCCUUGUAAGAACAUAUUGAUCCGGUGGUCCAUCCAAAAAUCCAGAAAUAAGUCCAUCCAGAAAUAAGAAUAGAAGCUCCUCAGGCCACUCCUCAGCGAUUUGGGAUUCCUGGCCAUCGGAUCUGGUUGCUUGAUGGAUCUUGGGCCGUCGGAUUGACCGCCGUAACGACCUUGUCCGUCAGAUAAAAAACAAUUACUGCGGGAAUGAAUAGUUACUCCCAAAAUGAGAUAUCUCGUGCCACCGCGUUUGAAUCAUGUGCCCCAUCGGCCGGAAGCCAUUCUUGCUAGGGCGAUGAUGAUUAGCCGUGGGUAUCAAGUUCGGUCCUCCCUCUUGUCUCUAGAAUCCUUUUUGAUCCUGUGAUACUUAUUGUUCUGUCCUUUGGAUGGUCAUUCUUAUUGAGUGAUAACCAGGGCAGCUCCAUUGUAUAAACAGAUUGAUCUAGUGAUAACAGAUGAUGGGGGUAGAUUAUAUGAUCGAGGAAAGGCAAAUCUGAGCCCAUAUGCAUUGAACCCUGAACCGUUUUUAUUCGCACGUGCCCCACUGGUUGGAAGCCAUCCUUGCUAGGGCGAUGAUGAUUCGCUGUGGCUGAAAUAAGUGUGCCUUUGAGCAAACAAGGCACCUGUGGGUAUCAAGUUGGGUCCUCCCUCUUGUCUCUAGAAUCCUUUUUGAUCAUGUGAUACUUAUUGUUCUGUCCUUGGAUGGUCAUUCUUGUUGAGUGAUAACCAGGGCAGCUCCAAUGUAUAAACAGAUUAAUGUGGUGACAAGAGAUGGCGGGGGUAGAUUAUAUGAUCGAGGAAAGGCAAAUCUGAGCCCACUAUGCAUUGAACCCUGAACCCUUUUUAUUUGUAUUUAAAGGUGUUGCUUAUUUAUGCUCCAGUGUUUAUAGCCAUCUUAUGUGAAUAUUUCUUCUCUCUCAUACCUUUAUUGCAUAUAAGUUGUUCUUGACUUUUAUUGUUUGUUGUUGGUCCUUGAUUUCAUCUGGUUAAGAGUAAGCAAGUUGUCGGUUCAAUGGCUUGUUUUAAUUUGUUGAUAAACCAGCAGAAACCAUGGUGUCAUGUUUCUAAUAACAGCAUCUUUAGGCUGGUUAAUGUUUGUAUUGGAUCCCACUACCUUUUAUUUCGCUUGUUUCUUACCAUCUUCCUUGCUUCUCUGGCUGUUUCACGGUUGGGACGGUGGCGUGGCGUUGGGGCUGUCUUGCGGGUCGGGCGGAGAGGGAGCACACCGAGUGGGCUUCUAAGAUGGCUGAGGGAUUUGUCUAGGGUUUCCUGGUUAAUCCAUUCUGAUUUUGGUCUGCUCAUGCUCUUGGCUUCCGGACCGUGGUGCUCAAGGUGGUCUGGCUGUCGCUGCCGCCCCUGCUCGACGAUGCUGCACCCCUGCUCGAUCACUUUAUAAAAAUAGCGUAUGCAGAAGUGAAAACGAGUCAAACAGAUGAUCAGUGCCUCAGUCCUUCAGUACUUGAGGUAUGUGUUGACUGUAUUAAUGCUAUUAUGUUUUUAGUGGCCAAUAUUUCUGACGAGUGUAUAAACCCACAGUUGACCAUGGUCCAGAUAUGAGUUUAAUUGGUGUCUAAGAUAAUUAGUAGCAUGAUUUUAUAAAGCUCCAGUUCCAUGGUUCUGAGCACUUGUGUUUAAUUGGAAUCACUUGUUAUUAUAGAACUAUGUUGUUGACUAUAGUUCCAUGUAGCUUGAGUAUUUAUCUGUACUUGAAGUCUACAAGUGUUUUCUUAAGUAUACCAGAACCACCUGACCGAGAAUAAUUAAUAUCAUAACUAUUAAGUAAACUGAAUUGAGCAUUUCUUAGAUUUUUUUGGUUUAGAGCUUUUAUUGUCUCUUUGGUAAUAUGUUGGAGUUUACUUUUCCUGUGGCAUACGUUUAUUUUGGAAGUUAUUUGCAUGUAUACUGGUAGGCGGUUGUCUACGUGCCCCCUUAUAGCUGCUUAUUAUCUAUAAGUGGUGAAUAUUAUUUUCCUGAGUUUAAUUGUAUGUAUCAAGCCGCUUGGUGGAAAGACUUCCUAUUGUAUCUUGACAUGUGAAUUGAAUGUUGUGGUUAUAUUAACAUCGCUCUUUGUUUUGUUGUCUACUUCUUUAUUUCCCUUUGGAUGGGCGCUCAUGUCGGCGUGGGGCACAGCGGCCUCCGAGGGAGCCGAGCCGGCGGAUGUGGAGGCUGCCGAGCGGCGGUGCUCGCGUGAAGGAGGAAUAUGAUGAUGCGUGGAGUGGCGUGGGGUACCAACCAUCUCCAUCGAGUGGCGGUGCUCGCGUGAAGGAUGAGUUCGUUAGCACUCUCUCGGCUGUGGCUGCACGUUCAACUGGCCAGUCAAGGAGCUCCAGCAAGCAGGACACCCAGCGAGUGUUUAGGAUCCCACACACGGCAGUUCUUGGCAUGCUCCUGGCACACCUUGGACUAUCACCGGCUCAGUAUGAACGCGUUGUUCAUGAGGACGGCAAGACCCAUGUUGUAAAUUGUCUGUAAGCGACGUGUUGCCGUAUCUUCUAUGCCUAAAACAUCUGUAAGCGACGUGUUGUCGUAUCUUCUAUGCCUGAACGUCUACAUUAUGCCUAAAACUUAAAGUUGUCUAUGCAUAGUUGUAAAUUGUCUUUAAGCGACGUGUUGUCGUAUCUUCUA